rnacentral:rRNA from 1 species
AGUGGGGAAUCUUGUGCAAUGGGCGAAAGCCUGACACAGCCACGCCGCGUGCGGGAAGAAGGCCUUCGGGUUGUAAACCGCUUUCAGCAGGAACGAAAAUGACGGUACCUGCAGAAGAAGAUGCGGCCAACUACGUGCCAGCAGCCGCGGUGAUACGUAGGCAUCAAGCGUUGUCCGGAUUUAUUGGGCGUAAAGAGCUCGUAGGCGGUUCAGCAAGUCGGGUGUGAAAACUCUGGGCUUAACCCAGAGCCUGCACUCGAAACUGCUGUGACUAGAGUUCGGUAGGGGAGCAGGGAAUUCCUAGUGUAGCGGUGAAAUGCGCAGAUAUUAGGAGGAACACCAAUGGCGAAGGCACUGCUCUGGGCCGAUACUGACGCUGAGGAGCGAGAGCGUGGGUAGCAAA